rnacentral:rRNA from 1 species
GACGAACGCUGGCGGCGUGCUUAACACAUGCAAGUCGAACGGAGUGGCGAACGGGUGAGUAACACGUGGGUGACCUGCCCUGCACUUCGGGAUAAGCCUGGGAAACUGGGUCUAAUACCGGAUAGUGUGGGAUGGGCCCGCGGCCUAUCAGCUUGUUGGUGGGGUAAUGGCCUACCAAGGCGGCGACGGGUAGCCGGCCUGAGAGGGUGGACGGCCACAUUGGGACUGAGACACGGCCCAGACUCCUACGGGAGGCAGCAGUGAGGAAUAUUGGUCAAUGGGCGAGAGCCUGAACCAGCCAAGUAGCGUGCAGGAUGACGGCCUAUGGGUUGUAAACUGCGGGAACGCUCACGUAGGUACCGCAUGAAUAAGGACCGGCUAAUUCCGUGCCAGCAGCCGCGGUAAUUC